AACUCAAAGGAAUUGGACGGGGAGCACCACAACGGGUGGAGCUUGCGGUUUAAUUGGAUCAACGCCGGAAAUCUUACCGGGACCGACAGCAAUAUGAAGGCCAGGCUGAAGACUUUGCCGGAUUAGCUGAGAGGUGGUGCAUGGCCGUCGUCAGUUCGUACUGUGAAGCAUCCUGUUAAGUCAGGCAACGAGCGAGACCCACGCCCACAGUUGCCAGCGUACUCUCUGGAGUGACGGGUACACUGUGGGGACCGCCGCUGCUAAAGCGGAGGAAGGAAUGGGCAACGGUAGGUCAGUAUGCCCCGAAUAUCCCGGGCUACACGCGAGCUACAAUGGUUGGUACAAUGGGUAUCUACCCCGAAAGGGGACGGGAAUCUCCUAAAACCAAUCUUAGUUCGGAUUGAGGGCUGCAACUCGCCCUCAUGAAGCUGGAAUCCGUAGUAAUCGCGUUUCAACAGAACGCGGUGAAUACGUCCCUGCUCCUU
rnacentral:rRNA from 1 species